GACGAACGCUGGCGGCGUGCUUAACACAUGCAAGUCGAACGAUGACGACCGAGCUUGCUCGGUCUGAUUAGUGGCGAACGGGUGAGUAACACGUGAGCAACCUGCCCUUCACUCUGGGAUAACCCCGGGAAAUCGGGGCUAAUACCGGAUAUGAGCUCCUGUCGCAUGGCGGGUGUUGGAAAGUUUUUCGGUGAAGGAUGGGCUCGCGGCCUAUCAGUUUGUUGGUGAGGUAGUGGCUCACCAAGGCGAUGACGGGUAGCCGGCCUGAGAGGGCGACCGGCCACACUGGGACUGAGACACGGCCCAGACUCCUACGGGAGGCAGCAGUGGGGAAUAUUGCACAAUGGGCGAAAGCCUGAUGCAGCGACGCCGCGUGAGGGAUGACGGCCUUCGGGUUGUAAACCUCUUUCAGCAGGGAAGAAGCGAAAGUGACGGUACCUGCAGAAGAAGCGCCGGCUAACUACGUG
rnacentral:rRNA from 1 species